rnacentral:rRNA from 1 species
AAAGUCGUAACAAGGUUUCCGUAGGUGAACCUGCGGAAGGAUCAUUAUCGAGUUUUGAACGGGUUGUAGCUGGCCUCUCACGAGGCAUGUGCACGCCUGGCUCAUCCACUCUUAACCUCUGUGCACUUUAUGUAAGAGAAAAAAAUGGUGGAAGCUUCCAGGAUCUCGCGAGAGGUCUUCGGUUGAACAAGCCGUUUUUCUUUCUUAUGUUUUACUACAAACGCUUCAGUUAUAGAAUGUCAACUGUGUAUAACACAUUUAUAUACAACUUUCAGCAACGGAUCUCUUGGCUCUCGCAUCGAUGAAGAACGCAGCGAAAUGCGAUAAGUAAUGUGAAUUGCAGAAUUCAGUGAAUCAUCGAAUCUUUGAACGCACCUUGCACUCCUUGGUAUUCCGAGGAGUAUGCCUGUUUGAGUCUCAUGGUAUUCUCAACCCCUAAAUUUUUGUAAUGAAGGUUUAGCGGGCUUGGACUUGGAGGUUGUGUCGGCCCUUGUCGGUCGACUCCUCUGAAAUGCAUUAGCGUGAAUCUUACGGAUCGCCUUCAGUGUGAUAAUUAUCUGCGCUGUGGUGUUGAAGUAUUUAUGGUGUUCAUGCUUCGAACCGUCUCCUUGCCGAGACAAUCAUUUGACAAUCUGAGCUCAAAUCAGGUAGGACUACCCGCUGAACUUAAGCAUAUCAAA